AUAAUGUAGGGGGAUUAAGGAUAUAUAUGAUUAAUGCACCGGUAAAAACGAAAUUACGACAAUUUUACAUAGUUAGCUGGAAAAAUACCUUCGCGGUAGCCAAUUCUUCCAGUCCACCAAUCAUCAUGGGAACCACUUCUUUCGACAAUAUCAAUGAUAUCGCCCUUUUGAAAAGAUAGAUCACCUGGCUGUUCACCAGCAAAAGAAUACAUGGCACGGGCUUGGUUUGGUCCAAGAGAAUCCUGUUUAAACUUAGGCUUUGGUGCCGUUGGACGAGAUGGCUUGCUAUAUUCUGAACUCCUAGAAGAGAAUUGCGAGGAAGAUUCUGUGCUAACAUCAGAACUAUAAACACUUUCUUCGUCUUCGUCGCUAUAACUACGACUGCGACGGGGGGAUGGAGUAUCCGCAUAUUUGGAUCUACGGUUGUCCAUUUUAGAAGAACGUAAAGAACCGCCUGCAGUUUUCCGUGAAAGAGAUUUACUACGACUGAAACUAUAAUCAUCUUCAUCAUCAUCAUCAUGAGCCCGACUACGAUUGCUGCGGUACGAGUCACCACGACGAGAGUAAGAGGAAGAUCGGUCUGCAGAGUCUCGACGUUUAGUAGACUUUGAGGAGGGACCCCAGAUAUCUUCGGGCUCAUCAUCAGCAUAAAUAGGAACAUCAUUAUAAAUGUCACCUUCAUCACCUCUGUUCAAAUUAAAUAUUUUAGAGUUAAGGACCCGAUAAAGGGGAUCCGCUGCAGCGGGUUGAGCUACUUGGCCCGAAAGAAGUCGCUUAGCAGUAAUAUCACCUCUAUAAAGACUUCGAUUAGCGUCACGACGUUCAACCAACACAGAUCCUUCAAGAGAAACACCUGCGAAAAGACCUUUGGUUUUACUAUACGAGAACAUAGGCGCCAUGCCGCCAACACUUGCACCACCACCAGCUUCGGCAUUUCGGCCCAAAGGUCCAGCGGCUAUUGAAAGGUUUCCACCCAAAGUAAUACUUCCCAACCGAGCAAAAGUUUGAACAGCAGCUUUGGAAUUAAGUAUAAUAACAAAAUCUGUUAAUUCAGAGCCAAUUUGUGCGCCAACUCCCAUCCCGCCAGUCAUAACUGCGGAAGGAGCAGACCAAGUACCAUCGUCAAGACGUGCGACAAUUAGACCGGAUCCAAUUCUACCAGAGAAAAGAAAGCCGGCCUUAAGUACAGUCAUAAUAACUAAGCCUUUAGCAUUCGUCAAUACCG